rnacentral:lncRNA from 1 species
UGUUAGAGAUUAUAUUGCCGAGAAGCUACUAGGGAAGACUAUUUGUAAAAUAGUAAGGACUAUAUAUAUGUCUAAGCCCCUAUGGUAGACUUAAAAAAUACUAAUUUAAAUGAGUUUUAGGUUGGUUGAUUUGUUGGUUGGUUGGUUUUGAAGUAACCUGUUUUUCUUCCUGUCGUGUCUUUUUGCAGAAUCCAGACUCCAAAAUGAUGCAAAUCAACCUGACUGGAUUUUUGAAUGGAAAAAAUGCUCGAGAAUUUAUGGGAGAACUGUGGCCCCUGCUGCUAAGUGCACAAGAAAACAUCGCGGGAAUCCCUUCUGCUUUCCUAGAACUGAAGAAAGAAGAAAUAAAACAAAGACAGAUUGAACAAGAAAAACUGGCAUCUAUGAAAAAGCAAGAUGAAGACAAAGAUAAAAGAGAUAAGGAAGAAAAAGAAAGCAGCAGAGAAAAAAGGGAGCGGUCUCGUAGCCCAAGAAGACGCAAAUCCAGAUCUCCUUCCCCUAGAAGACGAUCUUCCCCUGUCAGGAGAGAGAGAAAGCGCAGUCAUUCUCGAUCUCCCCGUCACAGAACCAAGAGCCGGAGUCCUUCCCCUGCUCCAGAAAAGAAGGAAAAAACUCCAGAGCUCCCAGAACCUUCAGUGAAAGUAAAAGAACCUUCAGUACAAGAGGCUACUUCUACUAGUGACAUUCUGAAAGUUCCCAAACCUGAACCUAUACCAGAGCCUAAAGAACCUUCUCCGGAAAAAAAUUCCAAAAAAGAAAAGGAGAAGGAGAAGACCCGACCACGAUCUCGGUCACGCUCCAAAUCAAGAUCCCGGACGCGGUCCCGCUCUCCUUCUCACACUCGACCUAGACGGCGCCAUAGAUCCCGAUCAAGAUCGUAUUCACCUAGAAGGCGGCCAAGCCCAAGAAGGCGGCCAUCUCCUCGAAGAAGAACUCCGCCAAGAAGAAUGCCUCCUCCACCAAGGCACAGAAGGAGUAGAUCUCCAGUAAGACGAAGAAGACGUUCGUCAGCAUCCUUGUCUGGGAGUAGCUCAUCAUCCUCUUCAUCUCGUUCACGGUCACCACCAAAGAAGCCUCCCAAGAGGACAUCCAGCCCCCCUCGGAAAACUCGUAGGUUAUCUCCUUCAGCAAGUCCUCCAAGGCGAAGGCACAGGCCAUCACCUCCUGCAACUCCACCACCCAAAACUCGGCAUUCCCCUACACCCCAGCAGUCAAACCGUACAAGAAAAAGUCGUGUUUCUGUGUCUCCAGGGAGAACUUCAGGUAAAGUGACAAAACAUAAAGGUACUGAGAAAAGAGAAUCCCCUUCACCAGCACCGAAGCCUAGAAAAGUAGAGUUAUCUGAAUCGGAAGAAGAUAAAGGUGGCAAAAUGGCUGCAGCAGAUUCUGUGCAGCAGAGACGCCAAUACAGACGACAAAACCAGCAGUCUUCAUCUGACUCUGGCUCCUCCUCCUCCUCAGAAGAUGAACGACCCAAGAGAUCCCAUGUGAAGAAUGGUGAGGUUGGCAGGCGGCGGAGACAUUCCCCUUCCCGGAGUGCUUCUCCAUCACCACGAAAGCGCCAAAAAGAGACUUCCCCUCGUGGUAGACGGAGGAGAAGUCCAUCCCCACCACCCACCAGAAGGCGACGGUCUCCUUCUCCCGCCCCUCCUCCUCGACGGCGCAGGACUCCCACACCACCACCACGACGAAGGACUCCUUCUCCUCCCCCACGUCGGCGCUCACCUUCUCCUAGAAGAUACUCUCCUCCAAUACAGAGGAGAUACUCUCCUUCUCCACCUCCAAAGAGAAGAACGGCUUCACCUCCUCCCCCUCCUAAACGAAGAGCAUCACCAUCUCCACCACCAAAGCGGCGGGUCUCCCAUUCUCCACCUCCCAAACAAAGAAGCUCCCCAGUCACCAAGAGACGUUCACCUUCAUUAUCAUCCAAGCAUAGGAAAGGGUCUUCCCCAAGCCGCUCUACCAGGGAGGCCCGAUCACCACAACCAAACAAACGGCAUUCGCCCUCACCACGGCCUCGAGCUCCUCAGACCUCCUCAAGUCCUCCACCCGUUCGAAGAGGAGCGUCGUCAUCACCCCAAAGAAGGCAGUCCCCGUCUCCAAGUACUAGGCCCAUUAGGAGAGUCUCCAGGACUCCGGAACCUAAAAAGAUAAAAAAGGCUGCUUCCCCAAGCCCACAGUCUGUAAGGAGGGUCUCAUCCUCCCGAUCUGUCUCCGGGUCUCCUGAGCCAGCAGCUAAAAAGCCCCCAGCACCUCCAUCCCCCGUCCAGUCUCAGUCACCGUCUACAAACUGGUCACCAGCUGUACCGGUCAAAAAGGCCAAAAGCCCAACACCGAGCCCAUCACCGCCAAGAAAUUCAGAUCAGGAGGGAGGUGGAAAGAAAAAGAAGAAAAAGAAGGACAAGAAACACAAAAAGGAUAAGAAGCACAAGAAGCACAAAAAACACAAGAAGGAAAAGGCUGUGGCUGCAGCUGCUGCAGCUGCUGUGACCCCUGCAGCCAUUGCAGCUGCCACAACCACAUUAGCACAGGAAGAGCCAGUGGCAGCGCCAGAGCCGAAGAAGGUAUUUAGGAACUCUGUAUAUGGCUGUCUUGCAGUUUACGUACAGAUAGCAAAGUCAUUUUGUUUUGAGAAGU